rnacentral:lncRNA from 1 species
GACAGAGAAGUGUGAGGAAAGUUUUCACAAAUUAAAGAAGAGGUUGAGCUCGGCACCUGUGUUGUUAUUGCUUGAUGAUACAGGGUGUACAAUGACGUAUCGCGCCCUUUUGAAAUUAUCUUAGAAUUGUUACUUUGGUCUUCAACAACUUCUGGCAAGACAGUGAGCAUCUUCAAAAUAACAAUAUUGCCAUUCUCCUUGCUUUGCAAAUUCUGGAGACUGUAGAAAAA